GGGAACUGAAACAUCUAAGUACCCCGAGGAAAAGAAAUCAACCGAGAUUCCCCCAGUAGCGGCGAGCGAACGGGGAGCAGCCCAGAGCCUGAAUCAGUGUGUGUGUUAGUGGAAGCGUCUGGAAAGGCGCGCGAUACAGGGUGACAGCCCCGUACACAAAAAUGCACAUGCUGUGAGCUCGAUGAGUAGGGCGGGACACGUGGUAUCCUGUCUGAAUAUGGGGGGACCAUCCUCCAAGGCUAAAUACUCCUGACUGACCGAUAGUGAACCAGUACCGUGAGGGAAAGGCGAAAAGAACCCCGGCGAGGGGAGUGAAAAAGAACCUGAAACCGUGUACGUACAAGCAGUGGGAGCACGCUUAGGCGUGUGACUGCGUACCUUUUGUAUAAUGGGUCAGCGACUUAUAUUCUGUAGCAAGGUUAACCGAAUAGGGGAGCCGAAGGGAAACCGAGUCUUAACUGGGCGUUAAGUUGCAGGGUAUAGACCCGAAACCCGGUGAUCUAGCCAUGGGCAGGUUGAAGGUUGGGUAACACUAACUGGAGGACCGAACCGACUAAUGUUGAAAAAUUAGCGGAUGACUUGUGGCUGGGGGUGAAAGGCCAAUCAAACCGGGAGAUAGCUGGUUCUCCCCGAAAGCUAUUUAGGUAGCGCCUCGUGAAUUCAUCUCCGGGGGUAGAGCACUGUUUCGGCAAGGGGGUCAUCCCGACUUACCAACCCGAUGCAAACUGCGAAUACCGGAGAAUGUUAUCACGGGAGACACACGGCGGGUGCUAACGUCCGUCGUGAAGAGGGAAACAACCCAGACCGCCAGCUAAGGUCCCAAAGUCAUGGUUAAGUGGGAAACGAUGUGGGAAGGCCCAGACAGCCAGGAUGUUGGCUUAGAAGCAGCCAUCAUUUAAAGAAAGCGUAAUAGCUCACUGGUCGAGUCGGCCUGCGCGGAAGAUGUAACGGGGCUAAACCAUGCACCGAAGCUGCGGCAGCGACGCUUAUGCGUUGUUGGGUAGGGGAGCGUUCUGUAAGCCUGUGAAGGUGUGCUGUGAGGCAUGCUGGAGGUAUCAGAAGUGCGAAUGCUGACAUAAGUAACGAUAAAGCGGGUGAAAAGCCCGCUCGCCGGAAGACCAAGGGUUCCUGUCCAACGUUAAUCGGGGCAGGGUGAGUCGACCCCUAAGGCGAGGCCGAAAGGCGUAGUCGAUGGGAAACAGGUUAAUAUUCCUGUACUUGGUGUUACUGCGAAGGGGGGACGGAGAAGGCUAUGUUGGCCGGGCGACGGUUGUCCCGGUUUAAGCGUGUAGGCUGGUUUUCCAGGCAAAUCCGGAAAAUCAAGGCUGAGGCGUGAUGACGAGGCACUACGGUGCUGAAGCAACAAAUGCCCUGCUUCCAGGAAAAGCCUCUAAGCAUCAGGUAACAUCAAAUCGUACCCCAAACCGACACAGGUGGUCAGGUAGAGAAUACCAAGGCGCUUGAGAGAACUCGGGUGAAGGAACUAGGCAAAAUGGUGCCGUAACUUCGGGAGAAGGCACGCUGAUAUGUAGGUGAAGUCCCUCGCGGAUGGAGCUGAAAUCAGUCGAAGAUACCAGCUGGCUGCAACUGUUUAUUAAAAACACAGCACUGUGCAAACACGAAAGUGGACGUAUACGGUGUGACGCCUGCCCGGUGCCGGAAGGUUAAUUGAUGGGGUUAGCGGUAACGCGAAGCUCUUGAUCGAAGCCCCGGUAAACGGCGGCCGUAACUAUAACGGUCCUAAGGUAGCGAAAUUCCUUGUCGGGUAAGUUCCGACCUGCACGAAUGGCGUAAUGAUGGCCAGGCUGUCUCCACCCGAGACUCAGUGAAAUUGAACUCGCUGUGAAGAUGCAGUGUACCCGCGGCAAGACGGAAAGACCCCGUGAACCUUUACUAUAGCUUGACACUGAACAUUGAGCCUUGAUGUGUAGGAUAGGUGGGAGGCUUUGAAGUGUGGACGCCAGUCUGCAUGGAGCCGACCUUGAAAUACCACCCUUUAAUGUUUGAUGUUCUAACGUUGACCCGUAAUCCGGGUUGCGGACAGUGUCUGGUGGGUAGUUUGACUGGGGCGGUCUCCUCCUAAAGAGUAACGGAGGAGCACGAAGGUUGGCUAAUCCUGGUCGGACAUCAGGAGGUUAGUGCAAUGGCAUAAGCCAGCUUGACUGCGAGCGUGACGGCGCGAGCAGGUGCGAAAGCAGGUCAUAGUGAUCCGGUGGUUCUGAAUGGAAGGGCCAUCGCUCAACGGAUAAAAGGUACUCCGGGGAUAACAGGCUGAUACCGCCCAAGAGUUCAUAUCGACGGCGGUGUUUGGCACCUCGAUGUCGGCUCAUCACAUCCUGGGGCUGAAGUAGGUCCCAAGGGUAUGGCUGUUCGCCAUUUAAAGUGGUACGCGAGCUGGGUUUAGAACGUCGUG
rnacentral:rRNA from 1 species